AGAAUCAACGCUGGCGGCGUGCCUAACACAUGCAAGUCGCACGAGAAAGGGGCUUCGGUCCUGAGUACAGUGGCGCACGGGUGAGUAACACGUGAAUAAUCUACCUCCGAGUGGGGAAUAACUGAGAGAAAUCUUAGCUAAUACCGCAUAACACUUACGAGUCAAAGCAGCAAUGCGCUUGGAGAGGAGUUCGCGGCAGAUUAGUUAGUUGGCGGGGUAAUGGCCCACCAAGACGAUGAUCUGUAUCCGGCCUGAGAGGGCGCACGGACACACUGGAACUGAAACACGGUCCAGACUCCUACGGGAGGCAGCAGUGGGGAAUUUUGCGCAAUGGGGGAAACCCUGACGCAGCAACGCCGCGUGGAGGAUGAAAUCCCUUGGGAUGUAAACUCCUUUCGAUAGGGAAGAUAAUGACGGUACCUAUAGAAGAAGCCCCGGCUAACUUCGUGCCAGCAGCCGC
rnacentral:rRNA from 1 species